AUCUAUUGGGUGUCUGGGAAGUGGGUGGGCGAAGCCCACCCACUGCUAAAGGAUCCCCCUCCAGCCUAAGGGGAGGACCCACAGGACCACAGAACCCACUGAGUUCGGGGGACAACUAAUAAAAGAACAGGGACAGGAGUGAGGUCAAAGGGCCAUAAGAAGGGAACCUGACGGGGACACCGAGCAGAGAACCCCGGACAGCGCCCACUGCUCCUCGAAGGCGUCAAGGGAGCCAGUGGACGCCGCCCAGAGGAACUCCGCCCGGAUGCAUGAUCGGACCAUGGAGCAGAAACAAGCCCCACAGUCACCGGAGUCUCCAUCGGCCAACCUCCCCUCCCUGGUCGCGUGGAUGGCCUUUUUAGCCAGGGCGAGGAGGAGGUUGACCAGGAGGUCCCGGGACUUCGUGGGGCCACGGAUAGGGAGUGCGUAGAGAAGGAGGUGAGGGGAGAAGUGCAACCAGAAACGUAAGAGGAUGGCAAUGAGGAGCCGGUGUAGGGGCUGCAACCUAGCGCACUCUAAGUAAACAUGCGCCAGGGUCUCCCUCACGCCGCAGAAGGGGCAGGUGUCCGGGACAGGGGUAAACCGCGCCAAGUACACGCCCGUGCUUACAUAGGAGAGUGUACCUAUUGGGUGUCUGGGAAGUGGGCGGGCAAAGCCCGCCCACUGCUAAAGGAUCCUCCCCCAGCCUAAGGGGAGGAACCACAGGGCCACAGAACCCACUGAGUUCGGGGGACAACUAAUAAAAGAACAGGGACAGGAGUGAGGUCAAAGGGUCAUAAGAAGGGAACCUGACGGGGACACCGAGCAGAGAACCCCGGACAGCGCCCACUGCUCCUCGAAGGCGUCAAGGGAGCCAGUGGACGCCGCCCAGAGGAACUCCGCCCGGAUGCGUGAACGGACCAUGGAUCGGAAACAAGCCCCACAGUCGCCGGGGUCUCCAUC